AGUGUUCUUAGCAAAAUAGAACCACACUGACCCAUCUCGAACUCAUGUGUGAAAUGUUUUAGCGGCGAAAAUACUGAAAGGGACACUUUUCGGGAACCAAGCUCAAUGCUCCAUU
rnacentral:rRNA from 1 species